UUUUAAAUAAAGAAGAGUUUGUAGUGGAUGCCUUGGGUCUGGAAGUCGAAGAAGGACGUGAUUACCUGCGAUAAGCCUCGUUUAGUUGGAUAUAAACUUUGAGACGGGGAUUUCCGAAUGGGGAAACCUAAUUGAGCUAAUCCUCAAUUAUCAUAUCGAUGAAUACAUAGUCGAAUGAAGAGACACGCUGUGAAUUGAAACAUCUCAGUAGCAGCAGGGAGAGAAAAUAAAGAAUGAUACCCAC
rnacentral:rRNA from 1 species